rnacentral:rRNA from 1 species
CUACGGGUCGCUGCAGUGGGGAAUAUUGCACAAUGGGCGCAAGCCUGAUGCAGCCAUGCCGCGUGUAUGAAGAAGGCCUUCGGGUUGUAAAGUACUUUCAGCGGGGAGGAAGGGAGUAAAGUUAAUACCUUUGCUCAUUGACGUUACCCGCAGAAGAAGCACCGGCUAACUCCGUGCCAGCAGCCGCGGUAAUACGGAGGGUGCAAGCGUUAAUCGGAAUUACUGGGCGUAAAGCGCACGCAGGCGGUUUGUUAAGUCAGGUGUGAAAUCCCCGGGCUCAACCUGGGAACUGCAUCUGAUACUGGCAAGCUUGAGUCUCGUAGAGGGGGGUAGAAUUCCAGGUGUAGCGGUGAUAUGCGUAGAGAUCUGGAGGAAUACCGGUGGCGAAGGCGGCCCCCUGGACGAAGACUGACGCUCAGGUGCGAAAGCGUGGGGAGCAAACAGGAUUAGAUACCCGGGUAGUC